GGUGCGCGCGGGGGCUGCGGGAGACGCAGCAGUUUGCGAUCUGCCCACGCGUUCGGGCACUAGGGCCACCGCUCUUGUGGGCAGAAGGCCGCGUCCAUUCCAGGAAGAGGAUCUUCUCCGGAAAUUAACAGAUCUGAUUCUGCAGCUGAUCAAGGAUGACACUGGUGAGAACCCUAUGAGGGAGUGAAGCAGCCUGGACUCUUACCACAAGAGGGAGGUGUUAUAAGAGCAAUGCAGAGGUUGGAGUGGGCAGCAGUUGGGGCAGGAGGAAGCCGACUGCUGCCUGGUCUGCAAAGAAGUCCUUUCAAGUCUCUAGGACUGGACUCUUCCUAAGCAAGUCCGACCAGGCUUUUGAAAAAGAGUCUCCACUCGGCUCCACUUCCUGCCCUCCAAUUCAUGCAGCAGCCCACUGAAGAUUGGCUUCUGUGCCCUUCACUGUCUGAGUCUUCCCGUUAAGAGCACCAGUGCCCUCCUAUUACCCAGCAGACCUCCUGGUUGCAUUGCUGAUCCUCAUUAAGCCCCCCUUUCCUUGGCUUUCAUCAGCUUGCUUUUUCCUACUUCUCUGGCUCAUU
rnacentral:lncRNA from 1 species